rnacentral:rRNA from 1 species
UUCCAGCUCCAAUAGCGUAUAUUAAAGUUGUUGCAGUUAAAAAGCUCGUAGUUGGAUUUGUGGUGUACUUCGGCGGCCCGUCACUAUGUGAUGGAGCUUGCUGAAGUCGCCAUCCUUGGGUGGAUCCUGUGUGGCAUUGAGUUGUCGUGCAGGGGAUGCCCAUCGUUUACUGUGAAAAAAUUAGAGUGUUCAAAGCAGGCUUAUGCCGUUGAAUAUAUUAGCAUGGAAUAAUAAGAUAGGACCUUGGUACUAUUUUGUUGGUUUAUACACUUAGAGAAUGAUUAACAGGGACAGUUGGGGGUAUUCAUAUUUACAUGUCAGAGGUGAAAUUCUUGGAUUUUGGAAAGAUGAACUACUGCGAAGGCAUUUACCAAGGAUAUUUUCAUUA